rnacentral:rRNA from 1 species
GGGCCCGCACAAGCGGUGGAGCAUGUGGUUUAAUUCGAUGAUACGCGAGGAACCUUACCAGGGCUUAAAUGUAGUUUGACCGGUCUGGAAACAGACUUUCUCUUCGGAGCAGAUUACAAGGUGCUGCAUGGUUGUCGUCAGCUCGUGCCGUGAGGUGUUAGGUUAAGUCCUGCAACGAGCGCAACCCCUAUUCUUAGUUGCCAGCGGUUCGGCCGGGGACUCUAAGAAGACUGCCAGCGCAAGCUGAGAGGAAGGUGGGGAUGACGUCAAAUCAUCACGGCCCUUACGUCCUGGGCUACACACGUGCUACAAUGGUAGAGACAGAGGGCAGCCACCUGGUGACAGGGAGCGAAUCCUUAAACUCUAUCUCAGUUCGGAUCGAAGUCUGCAACUCGACUUCGUG